CUGGCGGCGUGCUAAUACAUGCAAGUCGAACGAGUUCUCGUUGAUGAUCGGUGCUUGCACCGAGAUUCAACAUGGAACGAGUGGCGGACGGGUGAGUAACACGUGGGUAACCUGCCCUUAAGUGGGGGAUAACAUUUGGAAACAGAUGCUAAUACCGCAUAGAUCCAAGAACCGCAUGGUUCUUGGCUGAAAGAUGGCGUAAGCUAUCGCUUUUGGAUGGACCCGCGGCGUAUUAGCUAGUUGGUGAGGUAAUGGCUCACCAAGGCGAUGAUACGUAGCCGAACUGAGAGGUUGAUCGGCCACAUUGGGACUGAGACACGGCCCAAACUCCUACGGGAGGCAGCAGUAGGGAAUCUUCCACAAUGGACGCAAGUCUGAUGGAGCAACGCCGCGUGAGUGAAGAAGGCUUUCGGGUCGUAAAACUCUGUUGUUGGAGAAGAAUGGUCGGCAGAGUAACUGUUGUCGGCGUGACGGUAUCCAACCAGAAAGCCACGGCUAACUACGUGCCAGCAGCCGCGGUAAUACGUAGGUGGCAAGCGUUAUCCGGAUUUAUUGGGCGUAAAGCGAGCGCAGGCGGUUUUUUAAGUCUGAUGUGAAAGCCCUCGGCUUAACCGAGGAAGCGCAUCGGAAACUGGGAAACUUGAGUGCAGAAGAGGACAGUGGAACUCCAUGUGUAGCGGUGAAAUGCGUAGAUAUAUGGAAGAACACCAGUGGCGAAGGCGGCUGUCUGGUCUGUAACUGACGCUGAGGCUCGAAAGCAUGGGUAGCGAACAGGAUUAGAUACCCUGGUAGUCCAUGCCGUAAACGAUGAAUGCUAGGUGUUGGAGGGUUUCCGCCCUUCAGUGCCGCAGCUAACGCAUUAAGCAUUCCGCCUGGGGAGUACGACCGCAAGGUUGAAACUCAAAGGAAUUGACGGGGGCCCGCACAAGCGGUGGAGCAUGUGGUUUAAUUCGAAGCAACGCGAAGAACCUUACCAGGUCUUGACAUCUUUUGAUCACCUGAGAGAUCAGGUUUCCCCUUCGGGGGCAAAAUGACAGGUGGUGCAUGGUUGUCGUCAGCUCGUGUCGUGAGAUGUUGGGUUAAGUCCCGCAACGAGCGCAACCCUUAUGACUAGUUGCCAGCAUUUAGUUGGGCACUCUAGUAAGACUGCCGGUGACAAACCGGAGGAAGGUGGGGAUGACGUCAAAUCAUCAUGCCCCUUAUGACCUGGGCUACACACGUGCUACAAUGGAUGGUACAACGAGUUGCGAGACCGCGAGGUCAAGCUAAUCUCUUAAAGCCAUUCUCAGUUCGGACUGUAGGCUGCAACUCGCCUACACGAAGUCGGAAUCGCUAGUAAUCGCGGAUCAGCACGCCGCGGUGAAUACGUUCCCGGGCCUUGUACACACCGCCCGUCACACCAUGAGAGUUUGUAACACCCGAAGCCGGUGGCGUAACCCUUUUAGGGAGCGAGCCGUCUAAGGUG
rnacentral:rRNA from 1 species